UACGUAGGGUGCGAGCGUUGUCCGGAAUUACUGGGCGUAAAGAGCUCGUAGGCGGUUUGUCACGUCGUCCGUGAAAACUCGGAGCUUAACUCCGAGCUUGCGGGCGAUACGGGCAGACUUGAGUACUACAGGGGAGACUGGAAUUCCUGGUGUAGCGGUGAAAUGCGCAGAUAUCAGGAGGAACACCGGUGGCGAAGGCGGGUCUCUGGGUAGUAACUGACGCUGAGGAGCGAAAGCAUGGGGAGCAAACAGGAUUAGAUACCCUGGUAGUCCAUGCCGUAAACGGUGGGCGCUAGGUGUGGGGUCCUUCCACGGAUUCCGUGCCGUAGCUAACGCAUUAAGCGCCCCGCCUGGGGAGUACGGCCGCAAGGCUAAA
rnacentral:rRNA from 1 species